GAUGAACGCUGGCGGCGUGCUUAACACAUGCAAGUCGAGCGAGAAGUUUUGAAAAGAUUCUUCGGAUGAAAUUUAAAAUGGAAAGCGGCGGACGGGUGAGUAACGCGUAGGCAACCUGCCCCAUACAAAGGGAUAGCAUUUGGAAACGAAUAUUAAUACCUUAUGAAACUUAACUAAUGCAUGCUAGGUAGGUCAAAGAUUUAUCGGUAUGGGAUGGGCCUGCGUCUGAUUAGCUAGUUGGUGAGGUAACGGCUCACCAAGGCGACGAUCAGUAGCCGACCUGAGAGGGUGAACGGCCACAUUGGAACUGAGACACGGUCCAAACUCCUACGGGAGGCAGCAGUGGGGAAUAUUGCACAAUGGGGGAAACCCUGAUGCAGCAACGCCGCGUGAACGAUGAAGGCCUUUGGGUCGUAAAGUUCUGUUCUAGGUGAUGAAAACUGACAGUAACCUAGGAGAAAGCCCCGGCUAACUCCGUG
rnacentral:rRNA from 1 species